rnacentral:rRNA from 1 species
GACGAACGCUGGCGGCGUGCUUAACACAUGCAAGUCGAACGGAAAGGCCCUGCUUUUGUGGGGUGCUCGAGUGGCGAACGGGUGAGUAACACGUGAGUAACCUGCCCUUGACUUUGGGAUAACUUCAGGAAACUGGGGCUAAUACCGGAUAGGAGCUCCUGCUGCAUGGUGGGGGUUGGAAAGUUUCGGCGGUUGGGGAUGGACUCGCGGCUUAUCAGCUUGUUGGUGGGGUAGUGGCUUACCAAGGCUUUGACGGGUAGCCGGCCUGAGAGGGUGACCGGCCCCACUGGAACUGAGAGAGGGUCGAGACGCCUACGGUAGGCCGCAGUGGGGAAGCCUCCUCAAUGGGCGGAAGCUUGACGGAGCAACGCCGCGGGUGUGAUGAAGGUCUCCGGAGCGGAGAAAUGUGUUAGUAGGUAAGAACAAAUGUGUAAGUAACUAUGCACGUCUCGACGGUACCUAAUCAGAAAGCCACGGCUAACUACGUG